rnacentral:lncRNA from 1 species
AUUUGAGUGGAAAUGUGAUUGGAGUAGAAGGCAUCAGGGAGGGAGCCUGAGCUGAGACCACAUCUUGAAAACACAGAAUUGAGGGAGCAGAUGGAAGAAAGAAAGUCAGCAGGCUUGGAGGAUGAUGAUAACCCCAAGAAGAUUAAGGUGCUGGUGGAGGAGGUGGUUGGCAAAGGAGGUGAGAAUAAGGACAAGUUGAGUUCAGAGAAAUCAAGGGACACUGAGGAAUGAGUACAGCAUCCUCCACUCCUCAAGGAGCAACCUAAGCUGAGCAGUGAGGACUGGGAGAGUAACUUACUCCACAGGGAACCUGUGCAACAGCCAGGGACACCCAAGGAUGGAUCAGGUUUGGUUUCUCCUGCUGGGGAGCACCAAUUCCAAGAGGAGGAGGGUGGCACCCCCGAGGCUCUUCGCCAGACCCCCCGGCCUUGACCUCAGUGCUGCCCUCACAGUGGAC